rnacentral:rRNA from 1 species
UACGUAGGGGGCGAGCGUUGUCCGGAGUUACUGGGCGUAAAGGGCACGCAGGCGGUCAGGCGCGUUUCGGGUGACAGCGGAGGGCUUAACUCUGCGAGUGGUCGAAAGACGAGCUGACUUGAGGGCCAGAGAGGGACACGGAAUUCCGGGUGGAGUGGUGAAAUGCGUAGAGAUCCGGAGGAACACCGAGAGCGAAGGCAGUGUCCUGGCUGGUGACUGACGCUGAGGUGCGAAAGCUAGGGGAGCGAACGGG